rnacentral:rRNA from 1 species
UAUACAUGACUCUGCGCAUAUCAAUAAGCGGAGGAAAAGAAACUAACAUAGGAUUCCCUCAGUAACGGCGAGUGAAGCGGGAAGAGCUCAAAUUUGAAAUCUUCAAGGGUUUCCCUUGACGAAUUGUAGUUUAAAGAAGUGUUUUCUGUUAGAGAGGUGGUAAAAGUUCUUUGGAAUAGGACAUCAUAGAGGGUGAGAAUCCCGUAUUUGAUCACUUUCUACUAACGUUGUGAUACACUUUCAAAGAGUCGGAUUGUUUGGGAAUGCAGUCCAAAAUGGGUGGUAAAUUUCAUCUAAAGCUAAAUAUUGGCGAGAGACCGAUAGCGAACAAGUACCGUGAGGGAAAGAUGAAAAGAACUUUGAAAAGAGAGUUAAACAGUACGUGAAAUUGUCAAAAGGGAAGCGUUUGACACCAGUGUUGUUUUUCCGAAAAUCAAUUAUGAAUGGCUUUGAUUUUAGAGUUUCAUGACCUUAAUAGGCCUGUUGCUUAUUUUCUUACGUAACUUUCUUAAUGCACUUUUCGGUUAACAAGUCAACAUCAAUUUCUUUUGUUGUAAAAGGUUAAGAGGAAGGUGGCUUUACUUUCGGGUAAAGUGUUUAUAGCCUUUUAGCUCUGCAGUCGGAGAGAUUGAGGUCUGCAGCGUAGAUCCUUCGGGGUUAGAUACGUUUGUGCUAAGUUAUAGCUUUUCAUAGACAACUUGUUGACUAUGUUUAGUCUUGUGACUUACUCGCUUACGCUAUUUUACCUACGCUUAGGAUGUUGAUAUGCAUGACUGAUAU